GGGGCCGUUCCCAUGGCAACGCGGCCGCCCCGCCGCCGAGGCACAAAGGAGCGCCGGGGCCGGGCGGCAGGUGCGGAGCCCCGGGCUGCCGCGGCCCGGAGGGGGAGCAAUCCUGGGACAAAGCACCGCGUUUAGAGCAGCGGGAGGGCUCGCUGCGCGACGGAGCGUCCUCCUCGCGGUCCCUGCGGACCCCUGAGAACUCCCCGGGUACGAGAAGUUCCAACCGCCGGCGGCCGCCAGCUGGCACCGUAAACGGUAGUCAAAUCCUUCAGGUGAAAGAAGAGCCUAACUCGCUGCCCGCGCUUGCAUUCUUACCCUAGGAACAAAUGCUUACAGGCAGGGGUUAGUUAGCACAUACACGGCUGGGUGACUUGAUGGCUUCGCGUGAAACAGCAGUCCUUGCACUUGAGAAGAAGUAAAGCAGAGGAAGUGUAGCACGGUGGACCUGAUUUCACCAAGCGUUUUUAUUUUGCACGUAUGAAGUGUGGAAGUCUGUGGAGCAGCGGGACUACUGUGAAAUAAUACACUGAUUGCAGGGCUAAAAUGAGACUUAAGUAGCUGGAAAAUGGGUUGGAAGAAGCAACAACAAACCUCUGCCAUUUUGCCUACACGACGUGGUCUUUGCUUUGCUUUUUGAAAGGAAGUGGAUCUUCACACAGACUUCUUUUCUUACAUUUCCUGAGAUACAAUGUCAGUAUCCCCUCAGAUUUCCUUGAAUUACACAGCCAGUUUUUUCUCUGCCACUACACCGACAUCUUUAUCUAAUGACCACUUUGUUUAAAUUAGAAAUGUUUUCUUGCCCACAGAAAGUAACACUUUGACAUGUGAGGAAGAAAUCAGAGGCACAGAUCAGGAGGAAAAAGCACGCAAACAGCCCUGUGUUCUCUAAAGCAAGGGUCUCUUCUCCCACACCUUGCUUUUUGAGCAGGCCUAAAAUCAUCAUGGCUAUUCCCAUAUAACAGCAACAGUAUCUUACAAUUACAUAAUAUCUUGUGGAGCCAGCACACCUCAGAGCACUGGCAAUGAUGUCUUAGCAACAAUUCUGGGAAUUUCCUUAGUGAGCACUACUGAGGCACCUCGCCAUUGCUUCGCAAGGAUGAUCUUGCCAGCUUUUCCCACUCAACAAAUGACAACAGCAGCAAGUUACAGUGCUCAGCUUUGCCCCCACUUUGCUUCAACACCAACAAUGCACGCAGCACUCAAGGUGCACGGCUGGCUGUAAUGGAACAGCUCCUUUUGCUCUGCAUUGGGUGACUACUUUCACCUUCUCAAGUCAUGACCUACAUGAGGAUAUGAGCUUGGAGCCCAGAAAGAUGUACAAUGUGAGCCACGGAGCUUCCUCUCACAACAGCUUCCACGAG